AGCCUGGUGGUGGAUGGUCCGCACCCACAUCUAAUAGAUAGGGUUGUGAUGUGCAAGUGGGGUCCCUCGUUCGAUUCAGGGUCAGGCUA